UUAAGCGACUAAGCGUACACGGUGGAUGCCCUGGCAGUCAGAGGCGAUGAAGGACGUGCUAAUCUGCGAUAAGCGUCGGUAAGGUGAUAUGAACCGUUAUAACCGGCGAUUUCCGAAUGGGGAAACCCAGUGUGAUUCGUCACACUAUCAUUAACUGAAUCCAUAGGUUAAUGAGGCGAACCGGGGGAACUGAAACAUCUAAGUACCCCGAGGAAAAGAAAUCAACCGAGAUUCCCCCAGUAGCGGCGAGCGAACGGGGAGGAGCCCAGAGCCUGAAUCAGUGUGUGUGUUAGUGGAAGCGUCUGGAAAGGCGCGCGAUACAGGGUGACAGCCCCGUACACAAAAAUGCACAUGCUGUGAGCUCGAUGAGUAGGGCGGGACACGUGGUAUCCUGUCUGAAUAUGGGGGGACCAUCCUCCAAGGCUAAAUACUCCUGACUGACCGAUAGUGAACCAGUACCGUGAGGGAAAGGCGAAAAGAACCCCGGCGAGGGGAGUGAAAAAGAACCUGAAACCGUGUACGUACAAGCAGUGGGAGCACGCUUAGGCGUGUGACUGCGUACCUUUUGUAUAAUGGGUCAGCGACUUAUAUUCUGUAGCAAGGUUAACCGAAUAGGGGAGCCGAAGGGAAACCGAGUCUUAACUGGGCGUUAAGUUGCAGGGUAUAGACCCGAAACCCGGUGAUCUAGCCAUGGGCAGGUUGAAGGUUGGGUAACACUAACUGGAGGACCGAACCGACUAAUGUUGAAAAAUUAGCGGAUGACUUGUGGCUGGGGGUGAAAGGCCAAUCAAACCGGGAGAUAGCUGGUUCUCCCCGAAAGCUAUUUAGGUAGCGCCUCGUGAAUUCAUCUCCGGGGGUAGAGCACUGUUUCGGCAAGGGGGUCAUCCCGACUUACCAACCCGAUGCAAACUGCGAAUACCGGAGAAUGUUAUCACGGGAGACACACGGCGGGUGCUAACGUCCGUCGUGAAGAGGGAAACAACCCAGACCGCCAGCUAAGGUCCCAAAGUCAUGGUUAAGUGGGAAACGAUGUGGGAAGGCCCAGACAGCCAGGAUGUUGGCUUAGAAGCAGCCAUCAUUUAAAGAAAGCGUAAUAGCUCACUGGUCGAGUCGGCCUGCGCGGAAGAUGUAACGGGGCUAAACCAUGCACCGAAGCUGCGGCAGCGACGCUUAUGCGUUGUUGGGUAGGGGAGCGUUCUGUAAGCCUGUGAAGGUGUGCUGUGAGGCAUGCUGGAGGUAUCAGAAGUGCGAAUGCUGACAUAAGUAACGAUAAAGCGGGUGAAAAGCCCGCUCGCCGGAAGACCAAGGGUUCCUGUCCAACGUUAAUCGGGGCAGGGUGAGUCGACCCCUAAGGCGAGGCCGAAAGGCGUAGUCGAUGGGAAACAGGUUAAUAUUCCUGUACUUGGUGUUAUUGCGAAGGGGGGACGGAGAAGGCUAUGUUGGCCGGGCGACGGUUGUCCCGGUUUAAGCGUGUAGGCUGGUUUUCCAGGCAAAUCCGGAAAAUCAAGGCUGAGGCGUGAUGACGAGGCACUACGGUGCUGAAGCAACAAAUGCCCUGCUUCCAGGAAAAGCCUCUAAGCAUCAGGUAACAUCAAAUCGUACCCCAAACCGACACAGGUGGUCAGGUAGAGAAUACCAAGGCGCUUGAGAGAACUCGGGUGAAGGAACUAGGCAAAAUGGUGCCGUAACUUCGGGAGAAGGCACGCUGAUAUGUAGGUGAAGCGACUUGCUCGUGGAGCUGAAAUCAGUCGAAGAUACCAGCUGGCUGCAACUGUUUAUUAAAAACACAGCACUGUGCAAACACGAAAGUGGACGUAUACGGUGUGACGCCUGCCCGGUGCCGGAAGGUUAAUUGAUGGGGUCAGCGCAAGCGAAGCUCUUGAUCGAAGCCCCGGUAAACGGCGGCCGUAACUAUAACGGUCCUAAGGUAGCGAAAUUCCUUGUCGGGUAAGUUCCGACCUGCACGAAUGGCGUAAUGAUGGCCAGGCUGUCUCCACCCGAGACUCAGUGAAAUUGAACUCGCUGUGAAGAUGCAGUGUACCCGCGGCAAGACGGAAAGACCCCGUGAACCUUUACUAUAGCUUGACACUGAACAUUGAGCCUUGAUGUGUAGGAUAGGUGGGAGGCUU
rnacentral:rRNA from 1 species